AACGAACGCUGGCGGCAUGCCUAACACAUGCAAGUCGAACGAGACCUUCGGGUCUAGUUGCGCACGGGGGCGUAACGCGGGGGAACCUGCCCUUAGGUUCGGUAUAACUCCCCGAAAGGGGUCCUAAUACCGGAUAAUGUCUUCCGACCAAAGAUCUCUCGCCUUUGGAUGGGCCCGCGUUGGAUUAGCUGGUUGGUAGGGUACAAGCCUACCAAGGCGACGAUACAUAGCUGGUCUGGGAGGAUGGUCAGCCACGCUGGGACUGAGACACGGGCCAGACUCCUGCGGGAGGCAGCAGUAGGGAAUAUUGGACGAUGGGCGAAAGCCUGAUCCAGCACUGCCGCGUGAGUGAUGAAGGCGUUAGGGUUGUCAAGCUCUUUUACCCGGGAUGAUAAUGACAGUACCGGGAGAAUAAGCCCCGGCUAACUCCGUG
rnacentral:rRNA from 1 species